GUCCCAGUAGCGCAAUGGAUAGCGCUUUGGACUUCUCAUCCAAAGUCGUAUGUUCGAAUCACACCUGGAAUG